rnacentral:rRNA from 1 species
CCUACGGGAGGCUGCAGUGAGGAAUAUUGGUCAAUGGACGAGAGUCUGAACCAGCCAAGUAGCGUGAAGGAUGACUGCCCUAUGGGUUGUAAACUUCUUUUAUAUGGGAAUAAAAUGUUCCACGUGUGGGAUUUUGUAUGUACCAUAUGAAUAAGGAUCGGCUAACUCCGUGCCAGCAGCCGCGGUAAUUCGGAGGAUCCGAGCGUUAUCCGGAUUUAUUGGGUUUAAAGGGAGCGUAGGUGGAUUGUUAAGUCAGUUGUGAAAGUUUGCGGCUCAACCGUAAAAUUGCAGUUGAAACUGGCAGUCUUGAGUACAGUAGAGGUGGGCGGAAUUCGUGGUGUAGCGGUGAAAUGCUUAGAUAUCACGAAGAACUCCGAUUGCGAAGGCAGUUCACUGGACUGCAACUGACACUGAGGCUCGAAAGUGUGGGUAUCAAACAGGAUUAGAUACCCUUGUAGUC